UGGAGUUCAACACAAUUGAUUUUUUUUAUUUUAUGAAUUUUCUACACUUUACUAUGGUUUUUCAAAGAUUCAACCAAAAUAAACAUAACAGAAAAUGAAAAACCACCAAAGGAAACAGUUAGGUCAAGUGACCAAUUUUGAGAGAUGAGGAAGGAACUAUAUCUGAUUUUAGAGUUGAGGAAGGUGAAGCUAAUUUUCACGAUAAUUGAGGGAGGCAAAAUAGACUUAUUCUUUGCUGAGAAAUCUAACUCUCCGUCCUAGUGCCCAAUAACGGUGGUGGUCCAGAUGAAGCGGGG
rnacentral:lncRNA from 1 species